UUUGAAUCCAAUCCGUUUUAUUAUUAAAAUCGAGGAUAUUGGUUUUCUAAUUUCUUUUGUUAGUUUUAGUUCCAAUGCUUUUCAAACUGACUUAAUCAGUUUAGUUUGAAUAAAUAUGUUGAAUCCAAUUAAGCCAACCUAUGUACAACUCUACCGUUAUGAAUUUAAGAUCUUCAUAUUUUAAAAGGGAAAAACCUCAAUUUUGCUGUCAAUUUUUAGCUCAUAUUUGAAAUAAGUCUAUUUUUUUUAAUUAAAUUAGUUUAAGUCUUCCAUUGAGUUUAAA
rnacentral:misc_RNA from 1 species